GUUCCCAUAUGGAUCAUUUGGACCAGUCUCCUCAUUCUAUACACCAGAGAAGUUAAGGGACCAGCCCGGAUUUACAUAGGUAUUAGGUGACAGAAUGAAAAUUCAGAAGGAAUCUAGCUCUCUUUCUACUCUGGCCUUCUGGGUCAUCUGGCUAAAAAGUGAGGUAUCAGAGGCAGAUCCUGAAUUCAGGCCUUCCUGUCUGUAGGCCCAAUGUCCUCCUUACUAUGCCAGGCUGCCUUUACGUUCAGGUGAGGAGUUUGGGUAUAGGUCUCCUAGGAAAGGUGCUGCCUCACACAUCCUGGCACCCCAGGAUUCCCAGAUCUGAAAUUAGAAGGGACCCCCAAAGACCAUUUAGAUCAGCCUCCUCAUUUUACAGAUGAGGAAAUUGAGACCCUGGGAGAUUAGGUCUGUAGGAGUAAAUCCAUGUUCAUGCUUCAUAAAAGAAGACAAUUCCACAAUCCACCACUUCUGAAUCUACGGCAGCCAACUGCUCCAGCUGCUACCACAACCAAAUGCUCCUUUAGGACCUCGGUACCUGGGACCACCAAAGCAGCACUUCCAACCUUCAUCACCUCCAUCUUGAGAACCACGAUCGGUCAUCUACUCAGCAACAAGCAUAAAGUGGAGAAAAGCGGCAGAAGAAGAGCACCUCGUCACCUCACCUGGGGAAGGAUGGCAUGGUGGAGGAACAGCACCCCCCCGGCUUCCUUCUCCAUUCCACAGGAGUCUAGAGACAGAGUGGGCUUCCUAUCACAUGGAAGAAUCCCAGCCAAGAAGGGCAAGCCAGAAGCUGUUCUGCUAAUGGCUACAACCCCUGCUACUGUCAUGGGGGUGGGGAGAGAGGGAGGGAAUGGCCAAAGAGCCAUUAAGCACGUUGUACUCGCCCACACAUUAGAACACAGAGGCAGCAGAGGGCCAGAAGGAAAUGCCCCACUCUGCUCAAGUUUCAGGAGGAUCGUUCCAAUCACAAAGGGGCUCUUGCUCCACUUACACUCAAAUUUAAUGUCAGAGCCCCUGAAGUGGUACCUAGAGAACUGAUUUCUUCAGCAAGCAAUCAUUAAACACCUACUACACGUAAGGCAUUGUGGUAAGUGAUGUGGGUGCAGAGACAAUGCAUAGUUCUUGCCUUCAAUGAGUACAUAUUCCCACUGAGGGAAAGAAUAUUUGCACACAAUAUGCAUAUGACUGCACAUCUAUACAUAUGAGCCAUAUGAAAUUAGUCUGGAAAGACUGGUUGAAGACCAAUUAAAAUGGUCUUUAAAUGUCAAAUACAGG
rnacentral:lncRNA from 1 species